rnacentral:lncRNA from 1 species
AAGAAAGCAACGGCUGUUAUUGUACUCAUGUUGAGCGGACUGUGGAGAACUUUCAGUAGUGGUCGUGGAAUCUGAAAUCCUCCUGCAGAUGUGAUGUGAAGCCUAAAAAGAACCAUACUUGAAAAGCUAGAUAGAGAAACCCACCAUGACCUCUGCCCUCAAGCAUUUGUUGGACUAUCAAUUAUCAGAGUUUCCACUUUGAAACUACCUGUAGGGCCUUCAUGGAGGUCACUUUAACUCACUUUCAUCACUUAAUCCUCCAUCUCUUUUUCACUUUUCUUUUUUGCAGAUAUGGGCUGCAGAAGGAGAUAAUUAUAUCAGAACUUUUGCUGGAGGAGAAUGUUCUAUUUCUGCAGGAGGACCAAAAUGGUUCUGUUUUGAGUUAUAAACUUGAACAGGUCUUUAUAUUCGAAACUUUACCAUUACAUGAACACCAGACUCUCUAUCUAGAUGGCCAAUGAACACCACCAUUACAUGAAGGAAAGCAAUUAUCUAGAACAGAGAGUCCUUGAACAGGUGGGCCUCCAUCAAGACAAGUGUUAAUUAACCAAAAUUUAUUCUUGUUUUCUUUUUCAGUGGAUGUUUCUUCUUUUAACAUAUGUUGAUCCAUAUUCUGAAUCUCUAGUAACGAAAUCCUGGCACUGGUAAAUGAAAAGUCCUAACAGAUGAAAAUGAUGUCACAUCUUUUUUCUUUUCAGCAACUUGCAGUAUUAGAUGGCUGUGAGAAUGAUGCUUGUGGAUCUCCAUGGCACAUUUGAGGCUUGCUCUCCAAGUACCCUCCAUGCUAAAAUCAUUUCUUGGAGAGAAACCCUGAGCAUAAUCUCAAGAAAGAAAAAGGA